rnacentral:rRNA from 1 species
GAUGAACGCUGGCGGCGUGCCUAAUACAUGCAAGUCGAGCGAACAGAUGAGGAGCUUGCUCCUCUGACGUUAGCGGCGGACGGGUGAGUAACACGUGGAUAACCUACCUAUAAGACUGGGAUAACUUCGGGAAACCGGAGCUAAUACCGGAUAAUAUAUUGAACCGCAUGGUUCAAUAGUGAAAGACGGCUUUGCUGUCACUUAUAGAUGGAUCCGCGCCGCAUUAGCUAGUUGGUAAGGUAACGGCUUACCAAGGCAACGAUGCGUAGCCGACCUGAGAGGGUGAUCGGCCACACUGGAACUGAGACACGGUCCAGACUCCUACGGGAGGCAGCAGUAGGGAAUCUUCCGCAAUGGGCGAAAGCCUGACGGAGCAACGCCGCGUGAGUGAUGAAGGCCUUCGGAUCGUAAAACUCUGUUAUUAGGGAAGAACAAAUGUGUAAGUAACUAUGCACGUCUUGACGGUACCUAAUCAGAAAGCCACGGCUAACUACGUG